rnacentral:tRNA from 1 species
GCCUUCGUGGCGGAAUUGGUAGACGCAGUUGACUCAAAAUCAACCACCCACAAAGUGUGCCGGUUCGAGUCCGGCCGAGGGCACCA